rnacentral:rRNA from 1 species
CCAGACUCCUACGGGAGGCAGCAGUGGGGAAUAUUGCACAAUGGGGGGAACCCUGAUGCAGCGACGCCGCGUGGGUGAAGGAGUAUUUCGGUAUGUAAAGCCCUAUCAGCAGGGAAGAACAAUGACGGUACCUGACUAAGAAGCACCGGCUAAAUACGUGCCAGCAGCCGCGGUAAUACGUAUGGUGCAAGCGUUAUCCGGAUUUACUGGGUGUAAAGGGAGCGUAGACGGCGACGCAAGUCUGGAGUGAAAGCCCGGGGCCCAACCCCGGGACUGCUCUGGAAACUGCGUCGCUGGAGUACGGGAGGGGCAGGCGGAAUUCCUGGUGUAGCGGUGAAAUGCGUAGAUAUCAGGAGGAACACCGGCGGCGAAGGCGGCCUGCUGGACCGUGACUGACGUUGAGGCUCGAGAGCGUGGGGAGCAAACAGGAUUAGAUACCCGAGUAU